rnacentral:misc_RNA from 1 species
GAAAUGCGAUAAGUAAUGUGAAUUGCAGAAUUCAGUGAAUCAUCGAAUCUUUGAACGCACAUUGCGCCCGCCAGUAUUCUGGCGGGCAUGCCUGUUCGAGCGUCAUUACAACCCUCAGGCCCCCGGGCCUGGCGUUGGGGAUCGGCGGAAGCCCCCUGCGGGCACAACGCCGUCCCCCAAAUACAGUGGCGGUCCCGCCGCAGCUUCCAUUGCGUAGUAGCUAACACCUCGCAACUGGAGAGCGGCGCGGCCACGCCGUAAAACACCCAACUUCUGAAUGUUGACUUCGAAUCAGGUAGGAAUACCCGCUGAACUUAAGC